GGAAUCCAACCGCGAGGACCUUCAGGAAUUGAGGAAGAGUGCAAAGGGGUCAUUGAAAGAAAUUGGCGAGUUGAAGGCACACAAUCAAGAGCUUGAGGUGAAUUUGUCUCAACUCGAGUCUGAAAAGAUCAGGCUCGAAGCCCAGCGAGGCCAAGACCGCGAUGAGUUUG
rnacentral:rRNA from 1 species